rnacentral:rRNA from 1 species
GACGAACGCUGGCGGCGUGCUUAACACAUGCAAGUCGAACGGAAAGGCCCUGCUUUUGUGGGUUGCUCGUGUGGCGAACGGGUGAGUAACACGUGAGUAACCUGCCCUUGUCUUUGGGAUAACUUCAGGAAACUGGGGCUAAUACCGGAUAUGAGCUCCUGCUGCAUGUUGGGGGUUGGAAAGUUUCGGCGGUUCGGGAUGGAUUCGCGGCUUAUCAGCUUGUUGGUGGGGUAGUGGCUUACCAAGGUUUUGAAGGGUAGCCGGCCUGAGAGGGUGACCGGCGACAAUGGGACUGAGAUACGGACCAGAAGCCUACGGGAGGCAGCAGGGGGGAAUAUGGCACAAUGGGGGGAAGCCUGAGGCAGCAACGCUGGGAGCGGGAUGACGGGCUUCGGGUGGUAAACCGCUGUCGCCUGUGACGAAGCGGGAGUGACGGUAAUGGGUAAAGAAGCACCGGCUAACUACGUG